CUGAUACACUGUUCAUCAGAGGCAUGGGGAAAGAGCUUUAUCAAAUCAUCAUCAUGUUAAUGUAGUCGCUAAGGACCACAGAUACUGACAGAAAUUACAUUCCCUCCCCAGCGCUCGCCAUCGCUCUCAUGAUCAUUAACACAUGCUGAUGAGACUCACACUAAACCCUCAUCCCUCUCUCCAUCCCUCCGUGUCUCUCUGCUGUGGUUCUCUCGUUAGGGCUGGGCGUUAUGACCAGAGGCUUGUGUCACGCUAUAACCGAUAAACUGAUUCACAGCACAUUUCAACGCAACUUCUCACAUCUGAAGUUUUAGUAAGGACUUGAGAACAGCUGGUGAAACCCAACUCUGAAUCAUCUGAAGCACCAGCAGAGAUCUGCACCUCAGCGUCGGAUCUCACUGAUGCUCAUCAGUCUGAACAGGAUCAAGAUCUGCUGGAAGAUCUUCCCAGAAGAGUGAAGCUGUUCUAGCAGAAUGAAAGAUUGAACAUGAGUGAGGUCAGACGCUGACCGACGCUGGUCCAGUUCUCUAGAUUAGACCAUCGCUGGGUGCUUGCCUUAAGUCAUCAUAGAAAUCCUUCAGCAGGAGCUCAUCUAGUUUUAGGUGGGUUCUUGUGCUUUCAGACAGAUGAGGUUCUCUUUCAAGGGAACUUCAAACUGUGUCCUCUAGGGGUCGCUAUGGGGAACUCUUCGUCAUGACCCAUGUCUGAAGCAUACAUUGAAAAAACAUCGAGUUGGCCGGUGACAGCCUCUGAUGUCACUACCGGCGCGACUAUAAACAGGCACCGGGAGAACACGUCAUUCUCUUCUUCGUCUUCACUGACUGUUCUGUUUGAAGCAUGCAUCUGAAAGAACUUGUAAGCGCUAUCUUUCUCUGUCUAUCAUGGCGACGACUAGCAAGAGUUUAGACAAUGUGUGCAUCCGUGUCGCCGUUAUUUGGCACCUGAUGAUACACACAAUCUUUAUGUAAUUUGUUUGGG